UUUUCUUUUUCUUUUCUGUACGAGCGAGAGGAGAGACCCUGCAACACACGCCACCUAUCUUUGUGGGGAGGGAUAAUUGGAGAGCACCAAACAUAUGGAUCAGGGGUGAGAUGGGCUCUUUUCCUGGCUCUGCUCUUCCUUGGAAGUAGCUGAAUGAGCAGACAGCGUGGACAAGUAACGCGUGGGACUGAACUUCAGGGAGGUUACAAGUUUUUCACCUUUUUCAAUGGGAGAACAGCAUCCACAGGACCCCAAACCUCUUCUCACACCGGGCAGAGAGCAGUGAGCAGCGAGCAUCCUCCAUCUGCUGUCCCGCACCGUGAGCUGGAGAUGCUUUUUCCUUCUCUUCUGGGAUCAGUGCUGAAGUUCGGCCACAUUUCUUGGCUCAGUUGGCAGUGAUUAAAAUUCACGGCUCACUUUUGUUUAUAGUUGGUUGUUUACUUUGUUGAAUUUUUAAAAACUUGUUAGAAUGCAAUUGAACACAGAUUCAACAGUAUUUAGGCUUGAAAAAUAAAGAUGCAUUAGAAAGAUGCCUAUUAUGCUUCAGAAUUAUUAAUUGACAUUUUUAUGAUGAAUAAUUAAUCAUUUGAAUAAUUUUCGU